GGGUAGAGAGAGAGGGAGACAUAGAAUCCAAAGCAGGCUCCAGGCUCUGAGUUGUCAGCACAGAGCCCUGACGCAGGGCUUGAACUCAUGGACUGUGAGAUCAUGACCUGAGCUGAAGUAGGAUGCUUAACUGAAUGAGUCAACCAGGCACCCUGGGUAUGUACAUUUUUACAAUUGUUUUAUUCUCUUGUUGGAUUACUCCCUUUAUCAUUAACUAGCUAAUGUUGUUGUCUCUUGUUACAGUUGUUGCUUAAGGUCUAUUUUAUCUAAUAUCAGGUACAGUUACCCAAUUUUUUUUAGUGCUUGCAUUUGCAUGGUAAAUGUUUUUACAUCCCUUUGCUUUCAAUCUGCAUGUGUCUUUAGGUCUGAAGUAAGUCUCUUGUAGGCAGCAUGUAUAUAGGUCUUGCUUUUUAAUCCAGUCACUCUUAUGUCUUUUGAUUGGAGUUAUUAUUCCAUUUACAUUCAAAGUAAUUAUCAAUAGGUAUGUCUUUACUGACAUUUUGUAACUUGUUUUAUGGUUGUUUGUGUAGUUCUUCCCUGUUUCUUUCUUUGCUUGCUCUCUUCCCUUGUGGUGUGCUGGCCUUUAAUGAUAUACUUGUCUUCCUUUUUAUUUUUUUGUGUAUCUGCUAUAGAUUUGUGAUUUGUGGUUACCAUUUGGUUAUAUAUAACGUCUUAUGCAUACAGCAGUCUACAUUAGAUUGGUGGUUGCUUAAAUUGGGAUCCAUUCUAAAAGCACCAGAUUUUUACCCUCGCUCCAAGUUUUAUGUGUAUAUUUUAUAUAUCCUUUUAUUUGUGAAUCCCUUAACUGAUGUUUAUACAUAUAAUUGAUUUCACUGUUCUUCUGUUUUAUCUCUGUAUUUGUAUCAUAUGUACAUAUCUAGUACAUGUACUUAUUUUAUUUCACUUUAUUUUUAAAUUUAUUUAAUCUCUACACACAGUGUAUACAGAGCUCAAACUCAUGACCCUGAGAUCAAGAGUCAUAUGCUCUUCCCACUGAGCCAGCCAGGUGCCUCAAAUCUGGUACUUUUCUUGUUUUUAUUUGCUUAUGCCAGGUUUUUUUCAUAUUUUCUUCUGUUUAUAGCCUUUUCUUUCUACUCACAGUCCAUUUUAACAUUUCUUGUAUGACUGAUUUAGUGGUGAUGAACAUUUUUAACUUGUGUCUGUGAACUCUUUGUUUCUCUUUGUAUUUUGAAUGAUAGCCUUGCUGGGUAGAAUAUUUUUGGUUGCAGGUUCUUUCCCUUUCAGCACUCUGAAUAGAUCCAUCUCCCUCCUUUCUGGCCUGCAAAGUUUCUGAUGAAAAAAAUCAGCUGACAGCCUGAUGGGUUUCUCUUGUAGGUGCCUGUUUUCUUUUCUCUUGCUGUUCUUAAGAUUCACUUUUUAUCACUACUUUUUGCCAUUCUAAUUAUUAUAUGUCUUGGUGUGAACCUCCUUGAGUUGAUUUUGUUGGGGUCUCUCUGUACCUCCUAGAUUUGGAUUUGUUUCCUUCCCCAGAUUAGGGAAGUUUUCAGCUAUUAUUUCCUUAAAUACAUUUUCUCCCCUCUUUUCUUUCUGUUCUCCUUCUAAGAUCCCUAUAAUGUGAUUGUUAUUACACUUGAUAAUGAUCCUGAGUUCCUUUAAUCUAUUCUCCAUUUUUAUUAUUAUUUUUCUUAUUGCUUUUCAGCUGGUUGCUGUCCUCCAGGCUGCUGAUCCAUUCUUCUGCUUCCUCUUUAGUUUACUAUUUAUUUCCUAUAUGUAGUUUUAAAUGUUUGUUUAUUUAUUUUGAGAGACUGAGUGAGUGGGGGAGGGCAGAGAGAGAGAGAGAAUCCCAAGCAGGCUCUGUGAUGUCAGCAUGGACAACAACGUGGGGCUCAAUCCCAGGAACUGUGAGAUCAUGACCUGAGCUGAAACGAAGAGUCCAACACUCAACCGACUGAGCCACACACGCACCCCUCCCUAUAGCAUAUUUUAAUUUCAGUUAUUUAGUUCUUCAUUUCUGAUUGGUUGUUUAUUUUAGGUUUUCUGUCUCUUUGUUGAAGGUGUCAGUGAGAUCCUCCACUCUGUUCUCUCAUCCAGUAUCUUUAUGACCACCUCUAUCAGGUAUAUUGCUUAUCUCCAUUUCUUUAGCUCUUCUGUUGUCAUUUUGUCCUCUUCUCUCAUUUGUGAUCUAUUCUUCUGUCUCCUCAUUUUGUCUAAGUCUUUAUACUUCUUAUUAUGUAAUAGGAAAGUCAGUUAUAUUCUGACUUGAAAUUGGGGCCUGAUGAAGAAGAGGUCCUGUGGCGCUUUGUACAGCACUGUCUCCUGUUCACCAGAGCCAGUGACUAUAGAGGUGACCUGUGUAUUGCAUAUGCCCCACUGUUGUGGCUGAGCCUCAUUUGCCUUCUGUCCAUUUGGCUGCAGUGGCCCCCUUUCUCUUUUGUGGGUAGGAUUUGAUCCUUGUGCUGUUAAGAGGCUAAUCUGAGUCUGUCCCGGACACUAACUUGGGUUAGACCAAAUGCCUGCCAUCAGCCCAUUUUCUGGGGCUGUGGAAUCAUGAGAUUGCAGGACACUCUCCCUGCAUUGUUCCCUGAGAGCUUUUCAUUGGUGAGUGGGGUCUUCAGUGAGACAAAAUCUCUGCCCCCUAUCUUUUAGGGUUGCAGUUACCCUGAACUACAGGGCUUUUUCCUUGUGCUGUCCCCUGUGAGGUUUGUGUUGGUGGGUGGUGUUGGCAGUCUGAUUAGAUAUCUGCCCACAGUGCCCUGCUAGAGCUGCAGUGGGAUUGAUGUGUGUGGUUAUUUUCCCUUCUCCCCAGAGCAGGAGUCACUUCGGAGUGGUGCUGUUCACAGUUGUGUUGUUUGCAGGGUGAUAUUCAUCAGAAGCUAUGGAGAGACUCCACCCCAGUGGAGCAGGUUGAAUGGAGUGAGUCUUCAGUAGAACACAGGGCGUGUGGUGUUAGCAAGAAACAGGUAUAAAUGUGAUGGAUAAAAGGAAAAAUAAAAACAGAUUCAGUUGAAAGUUUACCUAUGAAAAUAACAGGAAAUAAUCUUCCUUUCAGAGGAGAAAGUAGAAAAAUAAUGGUUGGGCUGCAGAAAGAGGCAGGUAAGAAUAUUUAACAUUUUCAUCUAUUUUUAUCCUAAUCCUCUUCCACAGGUUAUUCAGUGUUCAAAGUAAUUACAGCUGUCUAAACCCUAGACUCUUUAAAAACAUCCUUGAAACGGGUAGGUAGGUCCUCAACCCUUGCAAUGAAGCGGUGAGGCCAGCAGUAAUGGGAUACGAGAAUAGCACACUGAAGUUCCAUCCAUCCUUUGAGCAACAACAAUGAAACUAAUAUACUCCCCCCAAUCCACCCCUUGGGACUGUGAGCUGGAGGGGAAAACAGAACAUUUUGUCUGCUGUAACUACAAUUUGGUGGAUUCUU